rnacentral:misc_RNA from 1 species
GAUGAAGACGUAGUGAAAUGCGAUAAUUAAUGUGAAUUGCAGAAUUCAGUGAAUCAUCGAGUCUUUGAACGCAUAUUGCGCCCCCUGGUAUUCCGGGGGGCAUGCCUGUCCGAGCGUCAUUGCUGCCCUCAAGCACGGCUUGUGUGUUGGGCUUCCGUCCCUGGCAACGGGGACGGGCCCAAAAGGCAGUGGCGGCACCAUGUCUGGUCCUCGAGCGUAUGGGGCUUUGUCACCCGCUCCCGUAGGUCCAGCUGGCAGCUAGCCUCGCAACCAAUCUUUUUAACCAGGUUGACCUCGGAUCAGGUAGGGAUACCCGCUGAACUUAAGCAUAUCAAUAAGCGGAGGA